UACGUAGGGUGCGAGCGUUUGUCCGGAAUUAUUGGGCGUAAAGAGCUUGUAGGCGGUUUGUCGCGUCUGCCGUGAAAAUCCGGGGCUCAACCCCGGACUUGCGGUGGGUACGGGCAGACUAGAGUGUGGUAGGGGAGACUGGAAUUCCUGGUGUAGCGGUGAAAUGCGCAGAUAUCAGGAGGAACACCGGUGGCGAAGGCGGGUCUCUGGGCCGAUAUUGACGCUGAGGAGCGAAAGCGUGGGGAGCGAACAGG
rnacentral:rRNA from 1 species